rnacentral:rRNA from 1 species
AGAUUUGGCCUGCCCACUGAUGGAAUUGAAUGGCCGCGGUAUUUUGACCGUGCAAAGGUAGCAUAAUAAUUAGUUUUUUGAUUGAAAGCUGGAAUGAAUGGCUGGACGAGAAAAUUACUGUCUCUUGUUAAUUUUUAAUAAAAUUUUAUUUUUAAGUUAAAAAGCUUAAAUAUCAUUAAAAGACGAGAAGACCCUAUAGAGUUUAAUAUUUUUAUUUGAAUAUAAUUUUAAGAAUUUAAGUUUUGUUUUAUUUAAGGAUAUUUUAUUGGGGUGAUGAAAAGACUAAGUUAACUCUUUUUUUUUGUUUAUAUUUAUUUAUAGGUGUUUGAUCCAAAUUUUUUGAUUAAAAGAAUAAAUUACCUUAGGGAUAACAGCGUAAUCUUUUUAGAGAGUUCUUAUCGAAAAAAAGGAUUGCGACCUCGAUGUUGGAUUAAAGUUUAUUUUUGGUGUAGAAGCUAAUAAAUUGAGUCUGUUCGACUUUUAAAACUUUACAUGAUCUGAGUUUAAACCGGUGUGAGCCAGGUUGGUUUCUAUCUUUAUUAAAAUAAAAUUUCUUAGUACGAAAGGACCAA